rnacentral:rRNA from 1 species
UAUAAGACUGGGAUAACUUCGGGAAACCGGAGCUAAUACCGGAUAACAUUUAGAACCGCAUGGUUCUAAAGUGAAAGAUGGUUUUGCUAUCACUUAUAGAUGGACCCGCGCCGUAUUAGCUAGUUGGUAAGGUAACGGCUUACCAAGGCGACGAUACGUAGCCGACCUGAGAGGGUGAUCGGCCACACUGGAACUGAGACACGGUCCAGACUCCUACGGGAGGCAGCAGUAGGGAAUCUUCCGCAAUGGGCGAAAGCCUGACGGAGCAACGCCGCGUGAGUGAUGAAGGGUUUCGGCUCGUAAAACUCUGUUAUUAGGGAAGAACAAAUGUGUAAGUAACUGUGCACAUCUUGACGGUACCUAAUCAGAAAGCCACGGCUAACUACGUGCCAGCAGCCGCGGUAAUACGUAGGUGGCAAGCGUUAUCCGGAAUUAUUGGGCGUAAAGCGCGCGUAGGCGGUUUCUUAAGUCUGAUGUGAAAGCCCACGGCUCAACCGUGGAGGGUCAUUGGAAACUGGGAAACUUGAGUGCAGAAGAGGAAAGUGGAAUUCCAUGUGUAGCGGUGAAAUGCGCAGAGAUAUGGAGGAACACCAGUGGCGAAGGCGACUUUCUGGUCUGUAACUGACGCUGAUGUGCGAAAGCGUGGGGAUCAAACAGGAUUAGAUACCCUGGUAGUCCACGCCGUAAACGAUGAGUGCUAAGUGUUAGGGGGUUUCCGCCCCUUAGUGCUGCAGCUAACGCAUUAAGCACUCCGCCUGGGGAGUACGACCGCAGGUUGAAACUCAGAG